UUACGAUGUAACAUUAUCAGUACUUGAAAAUCAAAGUGGUUAUGAAGUGAAGCGGGUGAGAAUCCCGCACUGUCGCGCAACGGUGUACCCGUCCGCCAACUGGCGGAUCGGACAAGUCCGAGC
rnacentral:ncRNA from 30 species